rnacentral:rRNA from 1 species
AGCGAACGCUGGCGGCAGGCCUAACACAUGCAAGUCGAACGAACCUUUCGGGGUUAGUGGCGGACGGGUGAGUAACACGUGGGAACGUGCCUUUAGGUUCGGGAUAACUCAGGGAAACUUGUGCUAAUACCGAAUGUGCCCUUCGGGGGAAAGAUUUAUCGCCUUUAGAGCGGCCCGCGUCUGAUUAGCUAGUUGGUUGAGGUAAUGGCUCACCAAGGCGACGAUCAGUAGCUGGUCUGAGAGGAUGAUCAGCCACAUUGGGACUGAGACACGGCCCAAACUCCUACGGGAGGCAGCAGUGGGGAAUCUUGCGCAAUGGGCGAAAGCCUGACGCAGCCAUGCCGCGUGAAUGAUGAAGGUCUUAGGAUUGUAAAAUUCUUUCACCGGGGACGAUAAUGACGGUACCCGGAAAAGAAGCCCCGGCUAACUUCGUG